AUUGAACGCUGGCGGCAGGCCUAACACAUGCAAGUCGAGCGGAUGAGAAGAGCUUGCUCUUCGAUUCAGCGGCGGACGGGUGAGUAAUGCCUAGGAAUCUGCCUGGUAGUGGGGGACAACGUUUCGAAAGGAACGCUAAUACCGCAUACGUCCUACGGGAGAAAGCAGGGGACCUUCGGGCCUUGCGCUAUCAGAUGAGCCUAGGUCGGAUUAGCUAGUUGGUGAGGUAAUGGCUCACCAAGGCGACGAUCCGUAACUGGUCUGAGAGGAUGAUCAGUCACACCGGAACUGAGACACGGUCCAGACUCCUACGGGAGGCAGCAGUGGGGAAUAUUGGACAAUGGGCGAAAGCCUGAUCCAGCCAUGCCGCGUGUGUGAAGAAGGUCUUCGGAUUGUAAAGCACUUUAAGUUGGGAGGAAGGGCAGUAAGUUAAUACCUUGCUGUUUUGACGUUACCGACAGAAUAAGCACCGGCUAACUUCGUGCCAGCCGCCGCGGUAACAC
rnacentral:rRNA from 1 species